UUCAAGGAAGCAGAAAUGGUCAGGCUCCUGC
rnacentral:piRNA from 1 species